rnacentral:rRNA from 1 species
UACGUAGGUGACAAGCGUUGUCCGGAUUUACUGGGCGUAAAGAGCGCACAGGCGGUCGAUCAAGUCGAGUGUGAAAGCCCCCGGCUCAACUGGGGAGGGUCAUUCGAUACUGAUCGACUCGAAGGCAGGAGAGGGAAGCGGAAUUCCCGGUGUAGUGGUGAAAUGCGUAGAUAUCGGAGGAACACCAGUGCGGAAGCGGCUUCUGGCCUGUCUUGACGCUGAGGCGCGAAGCUAGGGGAGCAAACGGGAUUAGAUACCGUGU